rnacentral:rRNA from 1 species
CCUACGGGAGGCAGCAGUGGGGGAUAUUGCACAAUGGGGGAAACCCUGAUGCAGCGACGCCGCGUGGGUGAAGAAGCGCCUCGGCGCGUAAAGCUCUGUUAUCAGGGAAGAAAAUGACGGUAACUGACGAAGCAGCCCCUGCUAACUACGUGCCAGCAGCCGAGGUAAUACGUAGGGGGCAAGCGUUAUCCGGAUUUACGGGGUGUAACGGGGGCGCAGACGGCGAUGCAAGCCAGGAGUGAAAGCCCGGGGCCCAACCCCGGGGCGGCUCUUGGAACUGCGUGGCUAGAGUGCAGGAGGGGAAAGCGGAAUUCCAGGUGUAGCGGUGAAAUGCGUAGAGAUAAGGAGGAACACCAGUGGCGAAGGCGGCCUGCUGGUCUGCAACUGACGUUGAGGCGCGAAAGCGUGGGGAGCAAACAGGAUUAGAUACCCGAGUAGUC